rnacentral:lncRNA from 1 species
UUGGACGUGUGAAGGAUUGCUGUAAGAUAUGCUUCCAAACUUGCUCAUACUGUAAAAAGGAAGGCUACAAGCGUUUUAAAAUGGGAUGGGUUCGAGUGAAGGGAUUUAGAAUUGCGGUCUCGUCAUCAGCAUAGAAGGAUCAGUGGGGUUUGGGAACCGGAUAGGAAGGUUAAAUGGGCUUCGGAAAAGACUAAUAUAUAUGGCUGGAGAGCUGUACAAAAUCGUCU